GUAGGGAAGCUGAACGAGAAUUUCAAAAAUGUAAAGAUGUACUCCUUCGUUUACAAUCAGCCAUCACAAAAGAAUUAGUUGAAAGAAUAAUUGAUAAAUGUACGCAUGUGGCCAUGCCAGAAUGCUGUAAUCUUAAGAAAGUAAUUAUUGAUAAUUUUUUUAUUACUAGAUGCAAAGGCCUUACACAGCAUCUUAUCAACAAAAGAGCCCAUAACGUUUCAUAUUCAUCAGCAUCGGCCAAUAAGAAACAAAAAGUAAAAUAAUUUUAGAAGGCACUUGUGGAUCAUGUCAGACAACAUGCAAUAGA